rnacentral:rRNA from 1 species
UGAAGGAAUUCGGCAAAUUUCUUUUUGCCUGUUUAAUAAAAACAUGGCUUUUUGUAUUAGAUAUGAGGUCAGGCCUGCCCAAUGAUGAUUUAAAUGGCUGCGGUAUACUGACCGUGCAAAGGUAGCAUAAUCAUUAGUUUUUUUAUUGGAAGCUGGAAUGAAGGGUUUAACGAGAAAGAAGCUGUCUUAAUUUGAUUAUUUGAAUUUUAUGUUUGAGUGAGAAAGCUUAAAUAGGUUUGAGGGACGAGAAGACCCUAUAGAAUUUAAUAGUUUAGAUGUUUUGGAGUUUUGGUUUAAUAUGGCUAGGAUGGGUAAGAUUAUUUUGUUGGGGUGAUAGGAAAAUUUGAUUAACUUUUUUUUUUAUUUUUGUCAUUAGUAAGUGAAUAUUUGAUCCAUUAAGAGUGAUUAUAAGAGGAAAUUACCUUAGGGAUAACAGCGUAAUUAAUCUGGAGAGUUCAAAUCGAUAGAUUAGUUUGCGACCUCGAUGUUGGAUUAAAAUUGGCUUUUGGUGUAGGGACUAUAGGGCUAAGUCUGUUCGACUUUUAAAAUUUUACAUGAUCUGAGUUUAAACCGGCGUGAGCCAGGUUGGUUUCUAUCUUU